GGGAGGGAAGGAUGGAUGGAGUUAGAGCAUGGAGAGACUGUGGUCAUGCAUAGCGUUUGUGCUUUUGUUAUUUUCUUAAAUCAAAGUAACUGUGGGCAGUUUCCAUCUCAAGCACGGGAAAGUUGUGCUUUUAAUUAAAAAAGAUGAGAACAGAAAUGUUCACGGCUCGUUAGAAAGGGAGAACAUAACAAAAAUCACAUGGGAGCAGUUUGAGACCUGGACGUCCGACGCCACCUGCCCCCCCUCUGCGCCCCCAUCAAUGCAUAGCUGCGGUUGCAAAAGCCAGCCCCCGUCACUGCAUAUUUGUGCUACGUGGUCAUCGGUAAACACCCAUGUGAGAGCGCAGAGCUCCAGUGUGGGGUCAGCACAAGUCAGCGGGCCCUGCCUGCGUCCGACUCUCUCCGCCUGCGACGCUCCCCUGUGAUCGGACAUUUAACACCACCAGACAGUCUUAUCUGAAGGAACGUCCUUGCACAGUCUACCACAACAGCACCACUCCUCCGAGGCAGAUGGGAUGACGUGUGGAAUAACUGCAUGUGUUCCUGUCAGGGGCCUCACGUGAGGACACACAGCACGGUGGAAAAUGAUCAAAACUAACACAAUGAAGUCUUUGAAAGGCUUUUUGCUGAAUUAAAUAAAGACGACAGGAAGCGGCAUUUCAGAUAUUAAACACAACAUUUGAAUCAAACACUGACUGACUGCAGGAAUGUUAAGCAUUAUCAAUGAAGAUUCGGUGGAUUUAUUACCAAUGGAAGUCAAACAUGUAGACACCCUGAGACAAUAAAAGUCUCCAAUAACACAAUUCUCCCAGGGGUCACUCACAGGAUGAAAUCAAGACUCUGCAGCCAUGCCAGUGGCUGUGUGGGACUCUACUGCUUUGAGCUACAUGCUAACAUUGUGGGGAACAUGCCUAUGUGUAGCAGGUAUGACAUUUAUAAUGUUCACCAUCUUGUUUUAGGGUGUUAAGUAACACAAAGUACAGCUGGGGCUGACGGGAACGAAGAAUUAGUUUUACUGGUGUGGGGGUCAAUUUGUCAAAGUAUUGGACAAGCUUAUCCAUCCAUUUAUUGAUGAGACAUUUUUCAAUAAAUACCAAAACAGUGUUAACCUGCUAGUGGUGUCAGUGGAUCACCAAAGCCAACAGGGUUCAUCUUCUGGAGAGUAUGAAUGUACACAUUCAUAGCAAUCCAUCAAAGAAGUUAUUGAGUUUUUGUUUGUUGACAUCUGUUGUAAUAAAGAGCAAUGGCAUCUUAUUUUGACAAUGACAGACCACAUCUGAUUUUCUCCAAAGGGCCAUAUAUUGAACUUAUCUGACACUAUACGAGACUAUAUUUAGCUGACUUGAGUUUAUAUAGUGUGACAAAAUGGAGAUGAUGUAAAUUUUUUCAGUAAUCGAAAUUGAAAGUGAAUUUUUCUCCCUGUGAUGCAGUUUCAGCAACCUGCAGCACAAAGUUACACAGUGCAGAAACAGAUGUGCACGCUGCAGACACCAGUCACCUGAUUCAAAAUCACUGAUUUAAAAAUCUGCUAUUGUAGAAAGGAAAAUAAAUAUUUUAUAUUUGCA